rnacentral:rRNA from 1 species
GACGAACGCUGGCGGCGUGCUUAACACAUGCAAGUCGAGUGGUAAGGCCUCUUCGGGGGUACACGAGCGGCGAACGGGUGAGUAACACGUGAGCAAUCUGCCCUUCACUUUGGGAUAACCACCGGAAACGGUGGCUAAUACCGGAUAUGACCACUUCGCGCAUGUGAUGGUGGUGGAAAGUUCUGGCGGUGGAGGAUGAGCUCGCGGCCUAUCAGCUUGUUGGUGGGGCAAUGGCCUACCAAGGCGACGACGGGUAGCCGGCCUGAGAGGGUGACCGGCCACACUGGGACUGAGACACGGCCCAGACUCCUACGGGAGGCAGCAGUGGGGAAUAUUGGACAAUGGGCGAAAGCCUGAUCCAGCAACGCCGCGUGAGGGAUGACGGCCUUCGGGUUGUAAACCUCUUUCACCUAUGACGAAGCGCAAGUGACGGUAGUAGGAGAAGAAGCACCGGCCAACUACGUGCCAGCAGCCGCGGUAAUACGUAGGGUGCGAGCGUUGUCCGGAAUUAUUGGGCGUAAAGGGCUCGUAGGCGGUUUGUCGCGUCGGGAGUGAAAACUCGGGGCUUAACCCCGAGCCUGCUUCUGAUACGGGCAGACUAGAGGUAUGCAGGGGAGAACGGAAUUCCUGGUGUAGCGGUGAAAUGCGCAGAUAUCAGGAGGAACACCGGUGGCGAAGGCGGUUCUCUGGGCAUUACCUGACGCUGAGGAGCGAAAGUGUGGGGAGCGAACAGGAUUAGAUACCCUGGUAGUCCACACCGUAAACGUUGGGCGCUAGGUGUGGGACUCAUUCCACGAGUUCCGUGCCGCAGCUAACGCAUUAAGCGCCCCGCCUGGGGAGUACGGCCGCAAGGCUAAAACUCAAAGGAAUUGACGGGGGCCCGCACAAGCGGCGGAGCAUGCGGAUUAAUUCGAUGCAACGCGAAGAACCUUACCUGGGUUUGACAUAUGCCGGAAAGCCGUAGAGAUACGGCCCCUUUUAGUCGGUAUACAGGUGGUGCAUGGCUGUCGUCAGCCCGUGUCGUGAGAUGUUGGGUUAAGUCCCGCAACGAGCGCAACCCUCGUCCUAUGUUGCCAGCGGCUCCUUCGGGAGGCCGGGGACUCAUAGGAGACUGCCGGGGUCAACUCGGAGGAAGGUGGGGAUGACGUCAAGUCAUCAUGCCCCUUAUGUCCAGGGCUUCACGCAUGCUACAAUGGCCGGUACAAAGGGCUGCGAUACCGCAAGGUGGAGCGAAUCCCAAAAAGCCGGUCUCAGUUCGGAUUGGGGUCUGCAACUCGACCCCAUGAAGUCGGAGUCGCUAGUAAUCGCAGAUCAGCAACGCUGCGGUGAAUACGUUCCCGGGCC